rnacentral:sRNA from 1 species
AUUUGUUUACCUGUUAUAUGGUGGCGUAAUUAAGGAUUUUUAAGGUACUGCAAUUGGCUGUUAAAAAGACAUGAGGGCAUGACCGGCAGCCAUAUCAUUUUUCAAUACAAUUACCUCAGACAUUUUGGCGUAGAUAAACGGUGGUGUCAAGCCUACUUGAUCUAUAGUUACAAAUACCACAAGUAAGCCAAUUGUCUUGGAUGAGAGUGGCAUUUAAGUUUGAAAAAUAUAGUAAUGGAAAAUCUGGAUAAGGCCAAUCUGAGGAGAAGUCAAAUUGGAAGACCGGCUUAUAUGGAUGUUAAAAUGGAUUCAAAAUUAUACAAUAAACAAAGCGGAAAAGAGACGUAAAAUCGGGAGAUUGGGUUAUGUGGAAGCUAUAUUUAACCAUGGACCGAUUUGGACCAUUUACAAUUCCAACUAGUUUUGUCAAAUUUGAAGCGGUUAGCUUUACUCCCCCGAAAAUUAUUGUGUAAAUUGUACACCCAGAGAAAUUAGUCUGCUGAUAUCAGCAAACA